rnacentral:lncRNA from 1 species
AGCAGUCUAUUUUCCAGUGUCCCCAUUUACCACAUGUAGGACAGGGCUUUGCUGGGGGCCAUGGGUUUGGGCAGGCCUUUGCCCAAAGUCCUGUGUUGCCGCAUCGAAAACAGGUGCCAGGGUCCUGAGAAGAUGAUCUUUCCUUAGAAACCCUCUGGAGGGCAGCAGCUAGGAUCUGCUUGAUAUCUGACCUAUUUCAAGCUAUGCAGCUAUUCUCAUCUGAAGUCAUCAGUUGGGAUGGAAACCAGUCUCUCAGCAGUACUUAAACAGGUCAGAAAGUUGCCAGCAGUUCCAAUCUAUUAUUUUUAUCUCAAAGGAAAAAUCAGCAGUAGAGUGGCUUCCCUCCUUCGACUCAGUUUCAGGGAAGGGGUGAGAACACCCUGUGAAGAGGAAGGCAGAGAUUGGAAUGAUGCAGAAGAAGCCAACGAAUCUAGGAGAGAGGCAUGAAUUUCCCCUUCAUAGUCCUUGUAAGGAGCCAACCCUGCUGCACCUUUAUCUCAAAUGUCCAGCUUCCAGAACUGCAAGACAGUAAAUUUCUGCUGUUUAAGACAAAAAAAAAAAAAGUUAAGCUUUAUAUGCACAAAGCAAGACAUUACUUAUAUUAAAUGUUGUAUCUGUGAUCUUUACAACAUUUGUCAAAUAGUCUAUUAGCCAAUCAGUUGGUAGGCAGAAGUAUCUAAAUCACAUAAAAUAAUUGUGCCUAAAUAAUUCUGGUAACUUAUGUAUAAUCCGUUGAACAUCUUGACAAUCACUAAUUUAACUAAUGCAAGUUUGUCAAAUAGGGGAACUGGGGAUCCUGAUACUAAUAUAAUUUUAGAAGAUGAACAACAGUAAAGCAUUUAUGGACUGAGAGCUUAAUGUGUUUAUUUCUUUUAAAAUUUUACAAACUGCUGGGUGUGUUGGCUUAUGCCUCUAAUCUCAGCACUUUGGGAGACUGAGGCAGGUGAAUUGCUUGAGCCCAGGAGUUCACGACCAGCUUGGGCAACGUAGUGAGAACUAAUUUCUACUAAAAAUUAAACAAAAAAAUAGUCAAGUGUGGUGGUACACACCUGAAAUCCCAGUUAUUCUGGAGACUGUGGCAGUAAGAUCAUUUGAGCCCAAGAUACUGAGACUACUGUGAGCCAUGAUUGUGCCACUGCACUCCAGCUCAGGCAACAGACUGAGACCCUGUCUCAAAAAUAAAUAAAUACAAAUAAAAUAAAAUUUUACAAACUUUCUGAUUUAGCAGUCACUAAAAACCACAUGAAAAAUCUAUUAUAUAUACACCAUCUUUUAAAAUAAAUACAUUGUAAUUUUGAAAAAUUGUGUUAUUUCCCUGAAAUCAACGUUAGCAAACAAUGGGGCUAAUAUAAAUCCAGAUAUGUUCAACUUCAAAGCCUAUACUACAAUUACUCUUGUAAAAAUAGUUUUCCAGUUAUGCCUCAACUUGUUUUAACUAGUGGAAAAAAAAAGCUUUCCAGCCCAUUAUGAGAAAGAAAAUUUAACUUCUCUAUUACAUAACUUGAUUACAUAAAUUACUAUAACCUAAUAAGUGCAGUUAACUUGACAUCCUCACUUAACAUAUGGAAGAGCACAUUUAUGACACAUUUAUAGACAUCAGUAUGGCAUUGUAUAUCAGAAAUUAAAAUGUGGAUAAGAUUUUGUCCCCCAAAUUUUACUACAAUAAAUUUGUUUUAAGGAAAUAUUGAAGUAGCAAAGAUGUAUGUUUAAGAAUAUUAAUUAUUACAGUGCUAAAAAAUAAAAUAUAGAACAAAAACUGAAUACAAAAUGUGACUAGAAUGUCAAAUAGAUGUCUACAUUCCCAUAUUUAUUGAAACAUUUUUCAUUAUAGCCAAGAUUUGCAAGCAACCUAAGUGCCUCUCAACAAAUAAAGAGAUUGUUUAAAUGUUUUGUGUGUGUGUGUGUGUAUAAUGGAAUACUGUUCAAUCUUUAGAAAAAAUAAAAUUCUGCAAUUUGCAACAACAUGAAUAAAGCUAGAGGACAUUUAUACUGAAUGAAAUAAGUCAUGUACAGAUAAACAAAUAUUACAUGCUCUCACUUAUAUGUGCAAGCAAAAAUUUGAGCUUACACAAGUAAGGGGUAAAAUGGUUACUACCAAAAACUAGGGCAGGAGUGCAUGGAGAAAGGAAAAUGUUGGUUAAAAGGUACAAAAUUUCAAUUAGAUAAGAGAAAAAAGUUAUGGUGAUCUAAUGCAUACCAAGUAAUUACAAUUAAUAAUAAUGAAUUUUCUAUUUAUAAUUGCAAAAAGGGGGAUUUUAAAUGUUCUUAACAAAAAUAAAUGUGAGAAUUGACAGAUAUAUUAAUUAACCUAAUUUGUUCAAUCCACAAUGUAUACCUGUAUCUAUGCAUCACA